GGGUUGGCGGCAUGCCUUACACAUGCAGUCGAACGGCAGCGCGGGGCAACCUGGCGGCGAGUGGCGAACGGGUGAGUAAUAUAUCGGAACAUACCCUAGAGUGGGGGAUAACGUAGCGAAAGUUACGCUAAUACCGCAUACGAUCUAAGGAUGAAAGUGGGGGAUCGCAAGACCUCAUGCUCAUGGAGUGGCCGAUAUCUGAUUAGCUAGUUGGUAGGGUAAAAGCCUACCAAGGCGACGAUCAGUAGCUGGUUUGAGAGAACGACCAGCCACACUGGAACUGAGACACGGUCCAGACUCCUACGGGAGGCAGCCGUGGGGAAUUUUGGACAAUGGGGGCUACCCUGAUCCAGCGAUGCCGCGUGAGUGAAGAAGGCCUUCGGGUUGUAAAGCUCUUUUGUCAGGCAAGAAACGGUGGUUCCUAAUACGAACUGCUAAUGACGGUACCUGAAGAAUAAGCACCGGCUAACUACGUGCCAACGGCCGCGGUAAUA
rnacentral:rRNA from 1 species